CCCUUAGAUGUUCUGGGCCGCACGCGCGCUACACUGGUGCGUUCAACAAGUUUACAACCUUGAUUGACAAGUCUGGGUAAUCUUUUGAAUGCGCACCGUGCUAGGGAUAGAUUAUUGCAAUUAUUAAUCUUGAACGAGGAAUUCCUAGUAAACGCAAGUCAUCAGCUUGCAUUGAUUACGUCCCUGCCCUUUGUACACACCGCCCGUCGCACCUACUGAUUGAAUGACUCGGUGAAAGAUUGGGACUGUGAGAACAAUUGAUUCAUUUCAAAUGUACUCGUGGGAACUUUUUUUAACCUCGCCAUUUAGAAGAAGGUGAAGUCGUAACA
rnacentral:rRNA from 1 species